rnacentral:rRNA from 1 species
AGAGUUUGAUCCUGGCUCAGGAUGAACGCUAGCGGCAGGCUUAAUACAUGCAAGUCGAGGGGCAGCAGGGUGUAGCAAUACACCGCUGGCGACCGGCGAACGGGUGAGUAACACGUACUCAAUCUGCCUUCAACUGGAGCAUAGCCCCGUGAAAACGGGAUUAAUACUCCAUAGUAUAAACUGGUGGCAUCACCGGUUUAUUAAAGCUUUGGCGGUUGAAGAUGGGGGUGCGUCCCAUUAGCUAGUUGGUAAGGUAAAGGCUUACCAAGGCUACGAUGGGUAGCUGGCGUGAGAGCGCGAUCAGCCACACGGGCACUGAGACACGGGCCCGACUCCUACGGGAGGCAGCAGUAGGGAAUAUUGGACAAUGGAGGAAACUCUGAUCCAGCCAUGCCGCGUGCAGGACGACGGCCCUCUGGGUUGUAAACUGCUUUUCUCAGGGAAGGAACCUUCCGAUUUAUCGGAACUUGACGGUACCUGAGGAAUAAGCACCGGCUAACUCCGUGCCAGCAGCCGCGGUAAUACGGAGGGUGCAAGCGUUAUCCGGAUUUACUGGGUUUAAAGGGAGCGCAGGUGGGUCUUUAAGUCAGUGGUGAAAUCCCCGGGCUCAACUUGGGAACUGCCAUUGAUACUGAAGACCUUGAGUAUAGUCGAGGUGGGCGGAAUACAGCAUGUAGCGGUGAAAUGCAUAGAUAUGCUGUA